UAUAUAGAAGUGUAUAGAGCAUAAAAAGGUUUGAUCUUUUAGGGGCCAGUGUAAUUCUGGUGUAUAUAA
rnacentral:tRNA from 1 species